GAUGAACGCUGGCGGCGUGCUUAACACAUGCAAGUCGAACGAAGCAUUUGCGACAGAUUUUUUCGGAAUGAAGUUGCUUAUGACUGAGUGGCGGACGGAUGAGUAACGCGUGGGUAACCUGCCUUGUACUGGGGGAUAGCAGCUGGAAACGGCUGGUAAUACCGCAUAAGCGCACAAUGUUGCAUGACAUGGUGUGAAAAACUCCGGUGGUAUAAGAUGGACCCGCGUCUGAUUAGCUAGUUGGUGAGAUAACAGCCCACCAAGGCGACGAUCAGUAGCCGACCUGAGAGGGUGACCGGCCACAUUGGGACUGAGACACGGCCCAGACUCCUACGGGAGGCAGCAGUGGGGAAUAUUGCACAAUGGAGGAAACUCUGAUGCAGCGACGCCGCGUGAGUGAAGAAGUAAUUCGUUAUGUAAAGCUCUAUCAGCAGGGAAGAUAGUGACGGUACCUGACUAAGAAGCUCCGGCUAAAUACGUG
rnacentral:rRNA from 1 species